UACGUAGGGUGCGAGCGUUAAUCGGAAUUACUGGGCGUAAAGCGUGCGCAGGCGGUUGUGCAAGACAGAUGUGAAAUCCCCGGGCUCAACCUGGGAAUUGCGUUGGAGACUGCAAGGCUGGAGUCUGGCAGAGGGGGGGUAGAAUUCCACGUGUAGCAGUGAAAUGCGUAGAGAUGUGGAGGAACACCGAUGGCGAAGGCAGCCCCCUGGGUCAAGACUGACGCUCAUGCAC
rnacentral:rRNA from 1 species